UACAGAGGGUGCGAGCGUUAAUCGGAAUUACUGGGCGUAAAGCGCGCGUAGGCGGCUUUGCAAGUCGGGUGUGAAAUCCCCAAGCUUAACUUGGGAACUGCAUUCGAGACUGCAUUGCUAGAGUAUGGGAGAGGGAAGUGGAAUUUCCGGUGUAGCGGUGAAAUGCGUAGAUAUCGGAAGGAACAUCAGUGGCGAAAGCGACUUCCUGGACCAAUACUGACGCUCAUGUGCGAAAGCGUGGGGGAGCAAACAGG
rnacentral:rRNA from 1 species